AGUGAACGCUGGCGGCGUGCCUAAUACAUGCAAGUCUAACGGAGAGGCGAAAGGGGGAGUAAUGUAUAGCUAAUCUGCCCUACACUAGAGGACAACAGUUGGAAACGGCUGCUGAGACUCAAUAGGGUGGGAGGAGGCUAUAUUGUAUCAGCUAGUUGGGGAGGUAAUGGCUAACCAAGGCUAUGAUGCAUAACUGGUCUGAGAGGAUUAUCAGUCACACUGGAACUGAGACACGGUCCAGACUCCUACGGGAGGCAGCAGUAGGGAAUAUUGCUCAAUGGGGGAAACCCUGAAGCAGCAACGCCGCGUGGAGGAUGACACUUUUCGGAGCGUAAACUCCUUUUGUUAGGGAAGCGGUACCUAACGAAUAAGCACCGGCUAACUCCGUGCCAGCCGCAGCGGUAAUUC
rnacentral:rRNA from 1 species